rnacentral:rRNA from 8 species
UUUGACCUCGGAUCAGGUAGGGAUACCCGCUGAACUUAAGCA